UGAGCUGCUACAUAUAAAACAUCAAAAGAAAUAAACUUAUACACUAGACCGUUGGGAACAGAAUAGUCCAAGGGGCUCAAAAUCUUCACAUACAAACGAGACGACCUGUUGCCUUCUUCAGUAAUGUAACAAGCUAUAUAAACGUCUUCCAUGGGCUUUGCAGAGGCUGAUAUGAGGAUGAUGAGCGAUUUGUCUGCAUGUAUAACAAGUGAAUUUGUUUUGUUUAAUUCUAUAUAAAAUUGUGGAGCUUGACCACCCUGAUAGGCAAGCCUUUAGGAAAAUCGACAAAUGGAAAGGCAAAAGCUUCAUCAUGAUCGGCUAACUCCCAUUGGUAAUUAAGCACCAAAUGGUGGAUGAAAACGGCCAUUUCGAGUUUUGCCAACUCUGAGCCUGCGCAAAUUCUUGGUCCUCCCCCAAAUGGCAUGAAGCAAUGACUACUCUGUGUCUGCAGCCAUCUCCAUGGAUUGAAGUGUUGGGGAUGGUCAAAAAGAGAAGAAUCCAAAUGCACGGCUGCAAUCACUGGUAGCACUUUCCAUCCACGUGGAAUGUCAUAACCUUCAUAAUGAACAUCUUUCAGAGCUUUCCUAUGCAGGAAUCUCACUACGUUUCCAAGCCUAAGUGUCUCACUGAUAACACAUUGAGUGAAUUCCAUUUUCUUGUAAUCUUCCCAGUUCAAUUCUUUCUCUCCUGAUUGCUUCUUUGCUCUUGCA
rnacentral:misc_RNA from 1 species